rnacentral:tRNA from 1 species
UGGGGUGUCGCCAAGUGGUAAGGCAUCGGACUCUGACUCCGACAUUUCCUAGGUUCGAAUCCUAGCACCCCAGCCA